CCUACGGGAGGCAGCAGUGGGGAAUAUUGGACAAUGGGCGAAAGCCUGAUCCAGCGAUGCCGCGUGAGUGAAGAAGGCUCUUGGGUCGUAAAGCCCUUUCGGCAGAGAAGAAGGGUCUUGAUUCAAAUAGGAUUAAGAUUUGACGGUAUCUGCAUAAGAAGCACCGGCUAAUUUCGUGCCAGCAGCCGCGGUAAUACGAAAGGUGCAAGCGUUGUUCGGAAUUACUGGGCGUAAAGCGCUCGUAGGCGGGAAUUCAGGUCGAUUGUGAAAGCCCAGGGCUCAACCUUGGAAUUGCAGUCGAGACCGUUUUUCUUGAAUACCUGAGAGGGUGGGGGAAUUCCUAGUGGAGAAGUGAAAUUCGUAGAGAUUAGGAGGAACACCAGAGGCGAAGGCGCCUGCCUGGCAGUGUAUUGACGCUGAGGAGCGAAAGUGUGGGGAGCAAACAGGAUUAGAUACCCUGGUAGUCCACACCGUAAACGAUGGAUACUAGCCGCUUGGGGAGUUAACCCCCUGAGUGGCGCAGUUCACACAUUAAGUAUCCCGCCUGGGGAGUACGGUCGCAAGGCUAAAACUCAAAUGAAUUGACGG
rnacentral:rRNA from 1 species